CACACACACACACAGACACGCAUAUACGCCCCUUAACCCCUCUUGCUCUCAGAGUCCUCGGUGAACCCUGAAUGGGUGAGUGCCCACUCGUGCUUUGAUGACCCAGUGAUACACGAGGGUCUGUUAAAUGCACCACCCUCUGCUCUCGGAGUUUUCCUUUCUACAUCAAAAUGCCGCUCGCUCCUUCAGGGUAACGAGGUCAACUUUGUUUCUACCUUGAUUCCUUUUUAUCAUUAUUCCUUGUGAUUCAUGCGGCUCAUUAUGUUUCUAGGCCAUUAAAGCAGGAAAAAUGUCACUCAGAAGAGCAGGGACAAGCAGAGCCCAGAGGAGCUCACUUGAUAACCGACAUUAGCAAUCACCAAAGCCACAAGUUAGGCAUCAGCAGAGAGACAGAACUGACACAGGCAAUAAACAGUUCCGUGCUGUGGCCUCUGAGUGGCUACGGCCUCCUGAUUUCCCCUUGAAAUGCUUGUCUCAAAGGGCCUUAAUAAUUCACUGAUUUCCGAAAUAAUUGACAUGUUUGUUUGUCUGAGAGGACAGAUCAACUGGAGGCUGGAGAAAAGGAGCUGAUUUAAGGAAACCGCCCCCACUACCUCACUUCCCUCAUUUCAAAGUCGUAGGAACUGGACCCAAGGUGUUAAACAGCUAGGAGAGUGCUGUGGCCGCACCAGCAGCCACCCUGGUGUCUUUGUAAGAGAGAAGCAGCUCACACGAUGAAGAAGGUAGCAGCCGGAGGACUUUAGAUUCCUGGCAGACACCUGUGACUGAAAGAAGAAGAGAUCAUGGUCCCCUCUCACGAUGGAUACGGAAGAUGCUGCUGGGGGAGGCUAAGAGGACACUGACACCCAGAAGGGAGGAGACCAAACUCCUACUUGGAGGUAUCAUUUAAAUCACAUGAUCAUCUAAAGAAGGAAGGCAAAUGCAGGCUCCAUAGAGUCAAGCCAGGCUCUAAGGAACAAGUAGGUCACCUGGGUUGAUGGUUAGUUUUGUCAACUUGACAGAAGCUAGGGGUCUAGAUUCUGGAAAGGGAGCCUCAGAGAGGGAUUGUCGACAUCACUUUGGCCUUUGGGCAUGUC
rnacentral:sRNA from 1 species